CACCCAACUAAGCCGCUCCCCCAACAUUGGAAAAGACUGCCUCCGGAUUUGUGUCUCCUGUUUCCCUCCAAAACACACCAGGAAGAAGAAAGGUUACCACUGAGCUUAUGAGCCAGAUGGAGCUGAAAUACUCACAGUGGUUCGAUGCGAGUGGCCCACAUCUGUGCGUGUUUGUGCAUGAAACAUCAGCCACCUCUGGAGAUUAAUCCACAAUCUGGGCUACUGGUCUCUGCAGGGAAGCCUGAAUGGAGUUGAGCCUCUGCAUGUCUGUGAAUCCAGCCAAAGGUCUCACUGCCAAACUUAACCUCCCCACUGAGCACAAUAUUCUGAUUCGUGUGUCAUUAACGCUUGUUUUUGUUAGUAUGAGCUGUGGAAAAUUGGAUUAGGCAGAAAAUCAAGCAGUAUAAACAUCAGAUAUCUUAAAUACGGAUCAUAACACAACAGGUAGCAGCUUUUUAUGACUUCACAAGAAGUUAGUGGUUGUUUAACUUUGUUAAGCCUGAACCAUCAAAUAAUUGUCAUAAAAUUCUAA